ACACAUGCAAGUCGAACGGUAACAGGAAGAAGCUUGCUUCUUUGCUGACGAGUGGCGGACGGGUGAGUAAUGUCUGGGAAACUGCCUGAUGGAGGGGGAUAACUACUGGAAACGGUAGCUAAUACCGCAUAACGUCGCAAGACCAAAGAGGGGGACCUUCGGGCCUCUUGCCAUCGGAUGUGCCCAGAUGGGAUUAGCUUGUUGGUGGGGUAACGGCUCACCAAGGCGACGAUCCCUAGCUGUCUGAGAGGAUGACCAGCCACACUGGAACUGAGACACGGUCCAGACUCCUACGGGAGGCACAGUGGGGAAUAUUGCACAAUGGGCGCAAGCCUGAUGCAGCCAUGCCGCGUGUAUGAAGAAGCCUUCGGGUUGUAAAGUACUUUCAGCGGGGAGGAAGGGAGUAAAGUUAAUACCUUUGCUCAUUGACGUUACCCGCAGAAGAAGCACCGGCUAACUCCGUGCCAGCAGCCGCGGUAAUACGGAGGGUCAAGCGUUAAUCGGAAUUACUGGGCGUAAAGCGCACCAGGCGGUUUGUUAAGUCAGAUGUGAAAUCCCCGGGCUCAACCUGGGAACUGCAUCUGAUACUGCAAGCUUGAGUCUCGUAGAGGGGGGUAGAAUUCCAGGUGUAGCGGUGAAAUCGUAGAGAUCUGGAGGAAUACCGGUGGCGAAGGCGGCCCCCUGACGAAGAC
rnacentral:rRNA from 1 species